UACAGAGGGUGCAAGCGUUGUUCGGAAUUAUUGGGCGUAAAGGGCGCGUAGGCGGUUCGGCAAGUCUCUAGUGAAAUCUCUGGGCUCAACUCAGAGUCUGCUGGGGAAACUGCCGGGCUUGAGUGUGGGAAGAGGAGAGUGGAAUUCCCGGUGAUAGCGGUGAAAUGCGUAGAUAUCGGGAGGAACACCUGUGGCGAAAAGCGGCUCUCUGGACCACAACUGACGCUGA
rnacentral:rRNA from 1 species